CCUGCCCUUAAAAUAUCAACAUGAAACUAAUUUCGUUCAUUGCCAUGGCCAUAGUCUUGCUCUUUCAAGGAGACCAGAAAGCUGUUGUGAUUAUGAGAAAAUAAAAUGUAUUGUGCUACAUGCUAAUAAAUGAAAGUUUAGCCACAACUUUUUCUGUACAAUAAAAA